rnacentral:rRNA from 1 species
AGUGAACGCUGGCGGUAGGCCUAACACAUGCAAGUCGAACGGCAGCACAGUAAGAGCUUGCUCUUACGGGUGGCGAGUGGCGGACGGGUGAGGAAUACAUCGGAAUCUACUUUUUCGUGGGGGAUAACGUAGGGAAACUUACGCUAAUACCGCAUACGACCUACGGGUGAAAGCAGGGGAUCUUCGGACCUUGCGCGAUUGAAUGAGCCAAUGUCGGAUUAGCUAGUUGGCGGGGUAAAGGCCCACCAAGGCGACGAUCCGUAGCUGGUCUGAGAGGAUGAUCAGCCACACUGGAACUGAGACACGGUCCAGACUCCUACGGGAGGCAGCAGUGGGGAAUAUUGGACAAUGGGCGCAAGCCUGAUCCAGCCAUACCGCGUGGGUGAAGAAGGCCUUCGGGUUGUAAAGCCCUUUUGUUGGGAAAGAAAAGCAGCAGGUUAAUACCCCGCUGUUCUGACGGUACCCAAAGAAUAAGCACCGGCUAACUUCG